UACGUAGGGGGCAAGCGUUGUCCGGAAUUAUUGGGCGUAAAGAGCGUGUAGGCGGUCCGGUAAGUCAGCUGUGAAAGUCAAGGGCUCAACCCUUGAAUGCCGGUUGAUACUGUCGGGCUAGAGUCCGGAAGAGGCAAGUGGAAUUCCUGGUGUAGCGGUGGAAUGCGCAGAUAUCAGGAGGAACACCUAUAGCGAAGGCAGCUUGCUGGGACGUUACUGACGCUAAGGCGCGAAAGCGUGGGGAGCGAACAGG
rnacentral:rRNA from 1 species